UGGAGGGCAUGGUCGGUUGUCUCAGCCUGUCUGGCUGACUCGCUAAGCAAUAAAAAUUUCGCGAAGUGGCAAUAAAAUUCCACUUAAAAUGGCAGCGAUUAUGUCUCAACAGACCAUUAAAGUCACUCAAAUGACAACUACUACUUAGGCACUACUCCACACAGAGUUUGCCCAGCCAGACAACACACAACCAACCAACAACUCUCGCUUGCCAGUAU
rnacentral:lncRNA from 1 species